GUACUCCUGGUGUUUACCACAGAUUGUGUUCUUAUAGUGACUGUAUGAAAAGAAGAGGCAGAAUAAUCCUAUCCCAUAUACACUUCAGCCCAGGCUCUAUGCUUGAUCUGUAUGAAUGUGGAGACAUGG